rnacentral:rRNA from 1 species
CCUACGGGGUGCAGCAGUGGGGAAUAUUGGACAAUGGGGGGAACCCUGAUCCAGCGACGCCGCGUGAGUGAAGAAGUAUUUCGGUCUGUAAAGCUCUAUCAGCAGGGCAGAAAGAAAUGACGGUACCUGACUAAGAAGCCCCGGCUAACUACGUGCCAGCAGCCGCGGUAAUACGUAGGGGGCAAGCUUUAUCCGGAUUUACUGGGUGUAAAGGGAGCGUAGACGGCGAUGCAAGUCUGAAGUGAAAGGCGGGGGCCCAACCUCCGGACUGCUUUGGAAACUGUAUGGCUGGAGUGCAGGAGAGGUAAGUGGAAUUCCUAGUGUAGCGGUGAAAUGCGUAGAGAUUAGGAGGAACACCAGUGGCGAAGGCGGCUUACUGGACUGUAACUGACGUUGAGGCUCGAGAGCGUGGGGAGCAAACAGGAUUAGAUACCCGGGUAGUC